GACGAACGCUGGCGGCGUGCUUAACACAUGCAGGUCGAACGGAAAGGCCCUGCUUUUGUGGGGUGCUCGAGUGGCGAACGGGUGAGUAACACGUGAGUAACCUGCCCUUGACUUUGGGAUAACUUCAGGAAACUGGGGCUAAUACCGGAUAGGAGCUCCUGCUGCAUGGUGGGGGUUGGAAAGUUUCGGCGGUUGGGGAUGGGCUCGCGGCUUAUCAGCUUGUUGGUGGGGUAGUGGCUUACCAAGGCUUUGACGGGUAGCCGGCCUGAGAGGGUGACCGGCCACAUUGGGACUGAGAUACGGCCCAGACUCCUACGGGAGGCAGCAGUGGGGAAUAUUGCACAAUGGGCGGAAGCCUGAUGAAGCAACGCCGCGUGCGGGAUGACGGCCUUCGGGUUGUAAACCGCUUUCGCCUGUGACGAAGCGUGAGUGACGGUAAUGGGUAAAGAAGCACCGGCUAACUACGUG
rnacentral:rRNA from 1 species